rnacentral:rRNA from 1 species
GAUGAACGCUGGCGGCGUGCUUAACACAUGCAAGUCGAACGAUGAAAGCGGGAGCUUGCUCCUGCUGGAUUAGUGGCGAACGGGUGAGUAACACGUGAGCAAUCUGCCCCGAACUCUGGGAUAAGCGUUGGAAACGACGUCUAAUACCGGAUACGACGCGCGAAGGCAUCUUCUGCGCGUGGAAAGAACUUCGGUUCGGGAUGAGCUCGCGGCCUAUCAGCUAGUUGGUGAGGUAACGGCCCACCAAGGCGACGACGGGUAGCCGGCCUGAGAGGGUGACCGGCCACACGGGGACUGAGACACGGCCCAGACUCAUACGGGAAGCAGCAGUGGGGAAUAUUGCACAAUGGGCGCAAGCCUGAUGCAGCAACGCCGCGUGAGGGACGACGGCCUUCGGGUUGUAAACCUCUUUUAGUAGGGAAGAAGCGAAAGUGACGGUACCUGCAGAAAAAGCACCGGCUAACUACGUGCCAGCCGCCGCGGUAAGAC